AGUAUGGGGACAACCGCGAACGCCCCGUGAGGCGACAAGCCCAAGGUUCGCAUGUUAACCUUGCUCGCGAGGAGACAUGCCCAUG
rfam:Leisingera methylohalidivorans DSM 14336 strain MB2, DSM 14336, complete genome.